AUUGAACGCUGGCGGCAGGCCUAACACAUGCAAGUCGAGCGGAGCGGCGGACGGGUGAGUAAUGCCUAGGAAUCUGCCUGUUAGUGGGGGAUAACGUCCGGAAACGGGCGCUAAUACCGCAUGCGAUAAGAAGAGCUUAGGUCGGAGUAGCUAGUUGGUGGGGUAAUGGCCUACCAAGCCGACGAUCCGUCACUGGUCUGAGAGGAUGAUCAGUCACACUGGGACUGAGACACGGUCCAGACUCCUACGGGAGGCAGCAGUGGGGAAUCGUGGACAAUGGGGGAAAGCCUGAUCGAGCCAAGCCGCGUGUGUGAAGAAGGUCUUCGGAUUGUAAAGCUCUUUAAUUAGGGAGGCGUUACCUACAGAAUAAGCACCGGCUAACUUCGUGCCAGCAGCCGCGGUAAUAC
rnacentral:rRNA from 1 species